GGCCUCGUAGCUCAGCUGGUAGAGCAAUCGCGGUACUAAAGCGAGGGUGGUGACCGCGCAUGGGUUCGUAUCCCGCCGGGGCCA
rnacentral:tRNA from 1 species